UACGGAGGGUGCGAGCGUUGUCCGGAAUCACUGGGCGUAAAGGGCGCGUAGGUGGCGCGGCAAGUCAACGGUGAAAGCUCGACGCUCAACGUCGAGUCGGCCGUCGAUACUGCUGGGCUUGAGCACUGUAGAGGCAGAUGGAAUUCCGGGUGUAGCGGUGGAAUGCGUAGAGAUCCGGAAGAACACCGGUGGCGAAGGCGGUCUGCUGGGCCGUAACUGACGCUGAGACGCGAAAGCUAGGGGAGCAAACAGG
rnacentral:rRNA from 1 species